CCUACGGGAGGCAGCAGUGAGGAAUAUUGGUCAAUGGGCGCGAGCCUGAACCAGCCAAGUAGCGUGAAGGAUGACUGCCCUACGGGUGUUAAACUUCUUUUAUAAAGGAAUACAGUGAGGCACGUGUGCCUUUCUGUAUGUACCUUAUGAAUAAGGAUCGGCUAACUCCGUGCCAGCAGCCGCGGUAAUACGGAGGAUCCGAGCGUUAUCCGGAUUUAUUGGGUUUAAAGGGAGCGUAGAUGGGUUGUUAAGUCAGUUGUGAAAGUUUGCGGCUCAACCGUAGAAUUGCAAUUGAUACUGGCAGUCUUGAGUACAGUUGAGGUAGGCGGAAUUCGUGGUGUAGCGGUGAAAUGCUUAGAUAUCACGAAGAACUCCGAUUGCGAAGGCAGCUUACUAAACUGCCACUGACAUUGAUGCUCGAAAGUGUGGGUAUCAAACAGGAUUAGAUACCCUGGUAGUC
rnacentral:rRNA from 1 species